rnacentral:SRP_RNA from 1 species
UCGUGCUAAACGGGGAGUUAGCGGUGCCCUGAACCUGCAAUCCGCUACAGCAGGGUGUAAUUCCCAUCGUGAGGCAUACGUCUGUGAGGUCCGGUGUCGAUAAGGAGUGUUGAUUGUCGGGUCCCGUGCAAUUGACGUCUGUGAACCAUGUCAGGCCUUGACGGGAGCAGCAUUAAGCAGAAGAGUCAAUGUGCCGCGGGUCUGCCUGGCAGGAGCCACCUGCCGGAGUGCCGCUCGGAGGCUUGUGUCGAGCGAUGGGUGCACGA